rnacentral:rRNA from 1 species
GGGUUAAGUCCGCAACGAGCGCAACCCUCGACCUUAGUUGCCAGCAUUCAGUUGGGCACUCUAAGGUGACUGCCGGCUAAAAAGUCGGAGGAAGGUGGGGAGUGACGUCAAAUCAUCAUGCCCUUAUGACCUGGGCUACACACGUGCUACAAUGGGCGGUACAAAGGGUCGCGAACCCGCGAGGGGGAGCCAAUCCCAAAAAGCCGCUCUCAGUUCGGAUUGCAGGCUGCAACUCGCCUGCAUGAAGCCGGAAUCGCUAGUAAUCGCGGAUCAGCAUGCCGCGGUGAAUACGUUCCCGGGCCUU